rnacentral:rRNA from 1 species
UACGAAGGUCCCAAGCGUUUAUCCGGAAUCAUUGGGUUUAAAGGGUCCGUAGGCGGUUUAAUAAGUCAGUGGUGAAAGCCCAUCGCUCAACGGUGGAACGGCCAUUGAUACUGUUAAACUUGAAUUAUUAGGAAGUAACUAGAAUAUGUAGUGUAGCGGUGAAAUGCUUAGAGAUUACAUGGAAUACCAAUUGCGAAGGCAGGUUACUACUAAUGGAUUGACGCUGAUGGACGAAAGCGUGGGUAGCGAACAGG